rnacentral:rRNA from 1 species
AAUGAACGCUGGCGGCGUGCCUAAUACAUGCAAGUCGAGCGAACAGACGAGGAGCUUGCUCCUCUGACGUUAGCGGCGGACGGGUGAGUAACACGUGGAUACCCUACCUAUAAGACUGGGAUAACUUCGGGAAACCUGAGCUAAUACCGGAUAAUAUAUUGAACCGCAUGGUUCAAUAGUGAAAGACGGUUUUGCUGUCACUUAUAGAUGUAUCCGCGCCGCAUUAGCUAGUUGGUAAGGUAACGGCUUACCAAGGCAACGAUGCGUAGCCGACCUGAGAGGGUGAUCGGCCACACUGGAACUGAGACACGGUCCAGACUCCUACGGGAGGCAGCAGUAGGGAAUCUUCCGCAAUGGGCGAAAGCCUGACGGAGCAACGCCGCGUGAGUGAUGAAGGUCUUCGGAUCGUAAAACUCUGUUAGUAGGGAAGAACAAAUGUGUAAGUAACUAUUCACGUCUUGACGUUACCUAAUCAGAAAGCAACGGCUAACUACGUG